UAUAAGCCUGGCCGCCUCGUUGGCCGUCGUGUUGUCCUUCAGCUCUCCUGUCUCGCGCUCCAAAGGUCCUCAAGUCGAGAUGAAGCUGUUAUCUGCGGUCGUGGCGUUGUUGGCGAUGCUGUGUCUCUUAGCAUCUCCUGGGCGAGCCUUUCCGGAACCCGAAGCAGCCGCUGAUCCUGUCGCCGAUCCCGAACCUCUCUUCUUCUGGAAGUUUAGGCCCAGGUACUACCGGGGCUACGGGCGCUACCGGGGCUAUGGCGGUUACGGAGGCUACUAUAAGAGAGGAUACUACUGGUAGAGGAGAAGAUUUGUGGGACUAAGGUUUUCCGGAGUGGAAUUUUGUGGAACUAUUCUCUAUGCCGUUGGGCAUUAAUAAAACAAUAAGCAGUAACUAAUAAAA
rnacentral:lncRNA from 1 species